UGGGAUGGCUCAGUCAGUGAAGCAUGAGACUCUUAAAUCUCCGGGUUGUGGGUUCGAGCCCCAAACUGGGUCAA